CUACGGGUUGCUCCAGUGAGGAAUAUUGCACAAUGGGGGGAACCCUGAUGCAGCAACGCCGCGUGGAGGAUGACGCAUUUCGGUGUGUAAACUCCUUUUAUAUGUCAAGAAAAUGACGGUAGCAUAUGAAUAAGCACCGGCUAACUCCGUGCCAGCAGCCGCGGUAAUACGGAGGGUGCAAGCGUUACUGCGGAAUCACUGGGCGUAAAGGACGCGUAGGCGGGUUGGAAAGUCAGGUGUGAAAUCCUACAGCUUAACUGUAGAACUGCACUUGAAACUUCUAAUCUAGAGUAUGGGAGGGGGAGAUGGAAUUAGUGGUGUAGGGGUAAAAUCCGUAGAUAUCACUAGGAAUACCUAAAGCGAAGGCGAUCUCCUGGAACAUUACUGACGCUAAGGCGCGAAAGCGUGGGGAGCAAACAGGAUUAGAUACCCCGGUAGUC
rnacentral:rRNA from 1 species